AAUUAAUUUACCUACUUUUUAUGGUAUUAGUAUACAUAAAUGUAGAAUAUAUGUCCGUAUAUAUUUGAUCUAAUUAGGUUUUGGAUUGGAGGAGUUGACACAAAAUUAUAAAUAUAUUAAACAAAUUUAUCUAUUCUAAAGUUGGAGGGGAAUUGGUCUGUACAUUGCUACAGUAAACAAAUGCUACUCAAUUUCACGUUAUUUACAACAAAGCUAUCAGAUUUGGGUUGGGUUGGAGGGUAAUUUGUUAAAAGUUAGGAGGGUAAUUUUGUGCAUAGGGUUUAGGUGCCCUCCUAUACAUGACCCUUGAGUUUACUUUAUUUACACCACUGCCAUCAAAUAUGUGGCUGAAUUGGAGGGUAUUAUUAAAAGUUAAGAGGGUAGUUUUGUUCAAGGGGUGGGGGCGACAUUCGCAGACGGAGGCCGAUGGGAGCCAUGCCCAUUGCACAGAGAGAAAGGGAGUGAUGGGGGAAAUUACAGACAGAAAAGGAAGGGAUGGGAGGAUUUGAUGGAUGGUCACAGAGAGAGAUUCGGUGAGGGAUGUGAGGGGAGAUUACAGAGAGAUAAAUAAAAGGGAGGGAUCGGGGGAUUUGAGGGAUGGUCAGAGAGAGAAAUAGUGAGGGAGGGAGGGAUGGGGGGGCUGAUUUUCGGUUCCUCCUUCAGAUUUGUUCCGUAAAACCUGUUGGGUACAAUUCAAUUUCCUCCCCCUUUCCCCUGAACGAAAAAUUCGAAACCUACAAUUCAAUUUCCUCCCUCCUUGGCUUUCCGCUUUACUCAUCUCCCGGUGGUUCUUUCUCUCCAUACGAUUCGAUUUCGGUGGGCCCGUUCACUAACUAAGCUUUCAAGGGAACCCAUCAGCGGUUUGCUUGCUGGGGGAAUUCGGAGACUACCAGUCAUGAUCUUCCGCUGCAGCAUCCAAAUUUUGCAUUUGUAAAUUGUCAAAGAAAAACGAAGUAUGAGGAAAUUAUAGGAGAUUGUGUCGGCUUUGGCCAUGAAGGGUAUCAGCAGCUUGUUCCCCCAUACAGAACCAGCAAUGCAAGAGCAGGAUCUGAUCAGUCAUGCCUGAAAAGGGCCAGUUUUAUGGCCCCGAUCUAGUGAUGCUUCUCAGUGACUGUGGUAAUUGCAGUUCAUUGCCACCAGUUGGUCAGCUACCUGCUCUGAAAGAGCUAUACGUAGAAGGGAUGAAAGUUGUUAAGAGUGUUGGUGUUGAGUUGUACGGGGGAAAUCAACCAUUUCAAUGUUUAGAGAAGCUAAAGUUUCGGGAGCUAUAGCAGCCUAGUCCAAGUGGAUGUGAAAGUCCAGACUUUCCUCAUCUUAAGGAGCUGGGGUUAUACGAAUGUCCGAAGCUGAGAGGAAACUUGCCCACUCAUCUUCCCUCCUUGAAAACACUUCAUGUGAACAAGUGUGAGGUUCUACAUAAAAACAGGGCCAGUAAUACCCUGAACGUGGAAUCCUUACGAGGAUCUCUUGAAAAACUGACAAUAAAUGGAUGCCCGGGUCUCUCAUUGUUACUAGAGUCGACGGAGACGCUGCCGUCGCUUCAGAAGCUUGAUAUUGAUAAUGUGGUGGGAAAGAGUUGUUGGCGCAAAUGGUGCACAACAGCAAUCGUCUUCAAAGUUUGACUUUAUAUAAAUGUUCCUCACCCUUGUCGUUCCUUACAAAUGGUCUGCCCACCACGCUGACAUCACUGAGCAUAACAGAUUGCAAGAAAUUAGAAUUCCCAUCACGUGAGAUGAUGGCCAAAUUGACUUCCCUUCAGUCUUUGCGUCUAUCCAACAGCUGUGAACGCAAAGGCUUGAGUAUUUGCAAUUGUUCUCUUUGGAAGCUUCUUUCCAGCCUUGACCUUCUUCUUGCCUGGUGCCUUCUCAUUGAGUAUUGGAGGAGCAUUAAAACACAGGGAGUACUAAUGUACUGAUUUUCUGGGAUUUUUUUUGUCCUUGCAGGAUUUUUGGUCUUUGAAAUGGAUCUCCACCCCACAUUUCACUAGUUCAAAUUCCAUAGAAGUUGGUUAUUGCAGAUUGCGUCUACAAUUAGAUCAGAGAUCAACUACUCUUUUGUUAUCCUGCAGAAGAUUGCUUUUGGGAAGGAUCUGAAGUAGUUUCUCUCUGGAUAGGAGAAACAAAGAGGAUGACACUUAUAACUGCCAUUCCCCAUCGGCCGUCUUCAAAUUUGGAUCACAAGAAGGGAGCAACAUAGGUGUUUUCCUUCUUUAUUUAGAUAUGGUUAGUGUAAAUAAUUGGACAAAAGAGCCAAACAAACCCUGUUCUCUCAAAUGGAGUUGAUGAUGUGGUCGACGGCCACCAGCCCCAACUCAAGAGUUUGGCCUUCAUAUAAUUGGAUUGUAGUAUAAUUUUAUUUUUGUUCAUUUCUUUUUUCCUUUAUAUAAGUGCAGGUGUUGUGAUGUUUUGAAUAAAGGGUGAUGAAAGGUGGUUCACACUUCCUCCUUACUUAAAGCAAGUGGAGAUGACGGUUUGUAUAAAAAGAAAAACUUGCCACGUACUUCAAUUUUCUAUUUUAUUAAUUAUUGUUUGGUUUUCCAAAUGUUGUAUUCACAAAGAGAGACCAAUUAUGUCUUUGAGAAACAAGUUUCUUUGUCUACAUUGCGAGAAUUUGCAGUUUGCAACUUUCAUUGGUUAUUAUAUUUGAUUGAGUUAAACUUGGAUUUCUGGAUUCUGACUUUUUCGUUUGUUUCUUUGUUGCAGAGUUGGCUUCAUUUCAUUCCAGGAACUCUCUAAAUAGGGCCAAGAACUCACUAAAUAGGUAGUCAAGAGGAAUUCAGUUUUGCCUUCAAUUUUUGCCUUCUGUUUACAUUCUUCCUGGAUGCACUCUCACCGCUUCUCUCGCUUACCACUUUUUUCUCACUCACCGCUUCAUCUCUUCUGUUGCUUACAAGGUGAAUGGAGAGAUUUACAACCAUGAAGAGCUGAGGAGCCGUUUGCCAAAUCAGAUUUAUAAGGUCUCAUCAAUUAUGAAUAAACGACUUUUCAUUCCCAAUGACCUUUAUCGUUUUUCUUAAUGGGUUAGCUGAACAUGAGGUAGAUGCUGACUUUAUCAAAUAUGAGAAUGUUUUAGGAUUUCAUUCUAAUUUUUUGGCUGUUUGAUUACUUUGCUUUUCGUAAUUUGUUUUGCUUAUCGUCAAUUGGAUGGGACAAAACAUAUUUUUGUAACCAGUUUGUACUUUUUUUUUUGGUGGAAACUAGCCAGUUUGUACUUUUACCAUCUCGGUUUUGAUGGAAUUGGAGCUUUCA